CAGGACAGAAAUGCGAGAAGAGACAAAAACUACCGAUGGCCAAAUGGCGAAGUUCCUUUCGAAAUUGACACCCAUCAUUUCUCAUCGUCUGAGGAGAGAACCAUACAUACAGCCAUGCAGACAAUUCAUGAGAAGACCAAGGUCAAUGGUAAAGCGUGCAUCACUUUCAAACCCCGCACACACGAGCAUGCCUACAUACGAUACGCGGGAGGAUCGGGGUGCCAUACUCCUGUAGGACGUCACAGAGGCUUGGAUGU